rnacentral:rRNA from 1 species
GACGAACGCUGGCGGCGUGCCUAAUACAUGCAAGUUGAGCGCUGAAGGUUGGUCCUUGUACCAACUGGAUGAGCAGCGAACGGGUGAGUAACGCGUGGGGAAUCUGCCUUUGAGCGGGGGACAACAUUUGGAAACGAAUGCUAAUACCGCAUAAAAACUUUAAACACAAGUUUUAAGUUUGAAAGAUGCAAUUGCAUCACCCAAAGAUGAUCCCGCGUUGUAUUAGCUAGUUGGUGAGGUAAAGGCUCACCAAGGCGAUGAUACAUAGCCGACCUGAGAGGGUGAUCGGCCACAUUGGGACUGAGACACGGCCCAAACUCCUACGGGAGGCAGCAGUAGGGAAUCUUCGGCAAUGGACGAAAGUCUGACCGAGCAACGCCGCGGGAGUGAAGAAGGUUGUCGGAUCGUAAAACUCUGUUGGUAGAGAAGAACGUUGGUGAGAGUGGAAAGCUCAUCAAGUGACGGUAACUACCCAGAAAGGGACGGCUAACUACGUG